UGUCUCUUUAGGGGUUAAAUCUCAGUGUAAAGUUUUUAUUUUCUCAAAAACCCGUUGUCAUAGUGUUGGCUUCCAGCGCACAGGGCAGCGACCCCCUUUAGGUUGAUACCACUAUUUCCCUCCUAUGAGUGAUGUCAUUUAUCUUCACUGGGCUCUGCUAUCUUCAGAGAUUCUUCUUUUGUGGAUUUGCUUUCUGAUUUUUCAAAGUUUCAUGGCAUCAGUUUCUUCUAGUGGUUAAGAGGCAAGAUACCUUGUUGUGAAGGCUGUUUGCACACCCUCCUGGGGGCCAGAGCAAACCCUGCCAAGACACCAGCCAUGUUUUCGAGGCUUCUCUCCCAAGCAGACUGCAACCUCUCUGCAAGAAUGUGCAAACUACAGCAUGUUUGUGGCAGCCUCACAUACUGAUCCUAGAGCACCUAUAUCUUCCUCAGUGUCAACUUCAAAACGACCUUUCUGUGAAGCUUAGUUAGCUCUAAUACGAUGCAUGUCUCAUCGACAAAGUGAUUCAGAAAAUGCAAGCAGUCAUCUUCAUCACAGUCCUAUGGAUUUCCAGGCUAAGGGGCCAUACAGGGCAGGAUUGACAGGUAGGCCAAAGCUCUGGGUAGGGAAGGUGGUGCCAGGCAAAAGGUUUGGAAAUUGAGUGGAGGGCCUAGGACCAUUGCAGCCAGGAACUGAGAAAGCUGGAGUUGGGACUUGGGGAGAGGGAAGCUGUAGACCAUAGACUGUGGUCGGAGCCUCAGACUCAGGGGAGGAUGCGGUUGAGAACGUGGAGAGGGGUGUCCUUGGGGGAGGACCUGGGAAAUAAGCCUCCAUGAAAAGGUCCUGGAGCAGAAGCUGGAGCCCAAUUGACAUACCAUCACCCCAUCCCUUCAUGUCCAGCCUCUCUCUGCUGGGAUCACCCCCUGGCAACCGGCCUUUUAUGAAACCCCUCGGCCUGGCUGACAAAUCCCCAGCUUCACUCCAGGUGGUCACAAUCUGACCCUUGUGACCUCAUGCUUCCCCACCCCCACUUGUGAUUUCAUCACGGGAAGUUCUUCUCCAGUGGCCCCUGAUCCAUGGAGACCCACCCAGCGACAGCCCUUAUCUCCCUCCACCCUUGCUUCCUUCUCACCCAUCUCACCACCAUCUGCCCUGGAGAGCCAGAUGUCCCAAAUUUUGGAGUGAAACUAAUUGAGGCUCAUUUCCAGGACAGAGGGGUGAGCUGGAUCUGAAGAGCCAAGCAGAAAGGCUUCCCAAUAUUACUAGGUUGGGAGGGGUCAGAAAUGUGUGGCUGCCGCAGCUGUUCUGACUCUGCCCCCAGCUUUCGGCUCCACCUGCUUAAAGCACCUUCAGAGGUUCCCAUGGUGACAGUAAACAGGUCUCCACUGCCUUGGCCAUCUGCUGUGUUCACCCCACUUCUGAUCUUGUUGGCCGCUCAGGGACUGACAGCCCAGAUGUGCAGCUAUGAUGAGCAGAAACAGGGAGGACUGGAGCCCCCAGAUUUGCAAUGAUCAAGAGGCGUCCUAUGAAUGCAGUUUGCAAACGACUUAGGCACGCAGCAUCUCCUUUGUUCUCACCACAAGGCUGCAGGGUGUGCAGAUGUGAGCAUUAUUUCACUGGUGAAGAAGCAUCCUGAGAGGUUACAUAGUUCAACUAACGUCACACCAAGAGAUAACUUUAGAAUCAUCUUUUCAAGCUUCAUGCCUAAAAAUCCCUACUGAGAUUUUGCUUGCAAUCGCAUUAAAUAUACAAAUCAAUUUGCCAGUUGCUGGUGCAAGUCACAUGGCUGUCCUGGGUACAGUUUCUGCCACUGCAAAAGAAGAGUGUUCAGCUCCAUCAAAAUAGAAAUCCCUCUCCUGGAGUCUAAAUGGGAAGAUUGAGUUACUCAAAACUGACAUAUAUAAACAGUUUUCUUGUGGGUCCUCUGACAUCUUCUUUGUGUACUACCAUGAACAUUUCCUCACAAGAUAGCACCAGUCGAGAUGAGAACAAUAACUUCUUUGAAUGGAACAAUGUCUGUGGAUUCUGAAAAUAACAUACAGCAAUUUCUACUGCACUGAGACAAUUGCCAAGAAGAGGUUCUAGAAGACGUAAUUUAUUCUAUCUGUGGUUGUCAAAACACAUCUGCUGCCCUUUACACAUUUUACUUAAAAGAUCACCUCUAUGAAUAUUGCAUUCACUACACACUGAUGAGGGUUGGCCUUUAUGUGACUAUAAAUAUAUGUAUGUUUGGGUGAA